rnacentral:rRNA from 1 species
AAUGAACGUUGGCGGCGUGGAUUAGGCAUGCAAGUCGAGCGAGAACCCAGCAAUGGGGACAGCGGCGAAAGGGACAGUAAUGUGUAGAUUAUCUGCCCUCGGGUCCGGGAUAGCUGCGGGAAACUGCAGGUAAUACCGGAUAACAUCUCCGGAUCAAAGUUGUGAUUCCGCCCGAGGAUGAGUCUGCAUCCUAUUAGCUUGUUGGUGGGGUAAUGGCCUACCAAGGCUUUGAUGGGUAGCGGGUGUGAGAGCACGACCCGCGUCAUUGGGACUGAGACACUGCCCAGACACCUACGGGUGGCUGCAGUCGAGAAUCUUCGGCAAUGGGCGCAAGCCUGACCGAGCGACGCCCGCGUGUGGGAUGAAGGCC